rnacentral:rRNA from 1 species
GAUGAACGCUAGCGGCAGGCUUAAUACAUGCAAGUCGAGGGGCAGCAUGACUGUAGCAAUACAGUUGAUGGCGACCGGCAAACGGGUGCGGAACACGUACAGAACCUUCCUUCGAGCGGGGAAUAGCCCAGAGAAAUUUGGAUUAAUACCCCAUAGUACAUUAGAGUGGCAUCACUUUGAUGUUAAAGAUUUAUCACUUGAAGAUGGCUGUGCGGCUGAUUAGGUAGUUGGCGGGGUAACGGCCCACCAAGCCUGCGAUCAGUAACUGGUGUGAGAGCACGACCAGUCACACGGGCACUGAGACACGGGCCCGACUCCUACGGGAGGCAGCAGUAAGGAAUAUUGGUCAAUGGACGAAAGUCUGAACCAGCCAUGCCGCGUGGAGGAUGAAGGUCCUCUGGAUUGUAAACUUCUUUUAUAUGGGACGAAAAAAGGGUUUUCUAACUCGUCUGACGGUACCAUAUGAAUAAGCACCGGCUAACUCCGUGCCAG